GAGUACAGUGGCAGACGGGUGAGUAACACGUGGGCAACCUGCCCGGAGGUGGGGGAUAACGUUCCGAAAGGGACGCUAAUACCGCAUGACAACCCGAGCACCUCGGUGCACGGGUUCAAAGCUUGCCUCUUCUUGAAAGCAGGCGCCACCGGAGGGGCCCGCGCCCCAUUAGCUUGAUGGUGAGGUAACGGCUCACCAUGGCGACGAUGGGUAGCCGGCCUGAGAGGGUGACCGGCCACACUGGAACUGAGACACGGUCCAGACUCCUACGGGAGGCAGCAGUGAGGAAUCUUGCGCAAUGGGCGAAAGCCUGACGCAGCGACGCCGCGUGGAGGAGGAAGGUCUUCGGAUCGUAAACUCCUGUCAAGAGGGACGAAUCCGGAGCGGAUGAAUAAGCCGUUCCGUUGACGGUACCUCUGGAGGAAGCCCCGGCUAACUCCGUGCCAGCAG
rnacentral:rRNA from 1 species